AUGUUUGGUGGAAGAAGAAGUAAUCAUUCAACAGUUAGCAGAGAUCACCUCCAGUGCAAAGCACGUUAUUCCAACUUUCAAGAAAAAGCCCUGUCUAGUAUUUCACCUUCAGGAUUCAGCUUUGCCAAUAAAGCCAAUGGGUAAAGACCUGUUGCCUUCUAUUAAACAUGUCCCAGGAAAACGUUUCUUCUCACUGAAACUGAGUAACAAAGCACUCCCACUUUUUGUUUGACUCUGUGAAAACUUAUUGGGUUUCAGCAUGUUUUUUCACCCUCAAACAAUCUAUUUAUAACAAAACAGCACAGAUUUUGUUGAGACAAAGGCAAUACCACCACAAGCAAAAUUAAUGAAGAACACAUUUCAGCAUGUCUUCUACAUGGCAGUAUUAUCAAUACACAGAUAACAAAACCAUAUACAGAUGCCAAAGAUUUUAUCUGCUAACUUUUCAUUAGAGGGAAUACACUGGGCAUACAAAUAAGUGUUUUGUAAAUCAAAUGACCAUUGCCUAAAACAAGAAUGCAGAAUAAAAAUGCAGCAACAAUAACAUGUGGCUCAGGGCACAGGGCUCAUAGCAGCAAAGUACAGAGCAUUCCAUAUCUUGAAAAAAAUGAAGUACAGCUUUGUACCAUAGUUUCCAACUUGUGAAGGAAUGUCCCUAACCAAAGCUUCUUGGUGUGAUAUUAAAUCUUUAAAAAUGUAUGUGUCUGUUAUAGCCCAGAGCAGAGUGAAGAGGCUUGAAAAAAAUCUAUCUGCUUAUUUAUUGAAAAAAAAUGUAUAAACAAUUCUGCCAGUAGAAAUGUAGACUUUUUGUUUUACGAAGUAGGCAUGUGUCUGGGAAUGUAACUUGUAGAUGGUUGAUUGAGUCUGUGAGACUAACUGUGAAACCACCAGGACAUCUGCUAAAAUGAAGCUAUAUAAAAAGUAAGAUCAACCACAUUGUAGCUGAAAAUUUGGAGGCAUAAAUUCCCCUCGUUAUCUACUAACAUAUGGAACAUCUCUGCCUUGUGUCAGUGUCUGGUUUGGGUCCUCACAAUAGGUAGCAUGAUCAGAGGGCCACAGUGUAUCCCAGUUGCAACAUCCUGGCACUCUGUAGCACAGAAGAAUCAUUUCAGAUAGGUCAGCUUCUAAAGUAAAAGUUACAAGAAACUCACAAGAUGCCAUAAAUUGACUCUGUUGUUGGCAAAGGCAACAAGAAUGGGGACUAAGUGUGUGUGCAGCCUCCCUGGUUGAUGGCAAACUUGCAGCACGGUCCUCUACAGAUUUUGUUCAUUUUGCAUUUUAGAGUAAGAAGUUCUUUCUGGUUAAUCAAAGUGGAGUUUGUAGGCCUUUUAGUAGAAUGUCUCUGUCGACUCUUCUCCUUGGUGGCCUGCCAAGGCUGAGAGAGUAGAAGAGGUGAGGUAUGUGAGCUCCCACCUGUGCCAGGUGCUAGUUUUGAGAGUAUAUUUGUAAAUGCAGCUGUAGUUUAGAGAGAGUGCUGUUUCUCAUUCAGUAAUUAAUAGCCUGUAUUGAUACCACCUCCCUCCUGGUCACAUUCAAACUUUCCCAGGGUGUGUACAAAGGGGUAUGUAGAGAGAACUCCAGAAAAAGUGAUGUUAUCUCCAGUAUUACCACUUUUCUGGAUAUCAUAGUGGGGGAGGGGGUAGUAGAAAAUUGAGUAGAAUUUGGCCUUAGGUCAAUACAUGAAAUAAAAAAAGUAUGAUCCAUGUAUGUAUAUGUAUGUUUUCCAAAAAAUGAUAAAACCAAAAUAUCACUUACUCAUCCUUCUUCAUAUUCUUUUCACAAAAUUCAUCCACCAUGGCCAUAGAAACUUCUCUCCUUCUUGAUUAUCCUCCUUGUUCCUGCACCUCACCCAGCUGAGAGUGAUGGAAUCCAUCAGCCUCUCCACCACAGAGCUAAAUAUGGCAAGGUCUAGGUCAUAGAGCACCAAAGCCAGCCCAGAAGCCAAAUGCAGCUCUCAUUUCCAAAUGUGGUGUCAUGGGUGUUGACAGGUGGGUAGCAACGAUCAGUGUUUCAGAUUAUUCAAGUCUGUUGUGAAAAAAAAAAAUGCCUGUGAUGUUGCCUCACCUGGGGGUUGGUAAUGUACUACUGUUGCUGGCCUACUGGACAGAGAGCAUCCUGAGAUGCCAUCACAUAAUGACACUGCACUGGAAAGGAUGAAAGAGGCAGGAACUGCAGGCAAGAAGGAAGAUUGCGUCAGUUCACCAAAUGGUGGGUCAGCUCCACAUCCAGGGUGUUGCUAAACCUCCCAUUCUAAAUAUUUGAACAGACUGCCUUCAUCUUGUAUACAUAGGGCCUGGCUCCUCCACUGUGUCUUCCAACCUCAUUGUUAUUUGGGGUAACAAGUGAGAUUUCAGCUCGCCCAAGUGUUUGCUGAAGACCCAUCUGUUCUCUUGAGAAAACUUUAUAGAUACCUGUGAUCAUCACCAAUCUGUUCAUGAUUUUUUAAAUAAUUGUUUUAACCCUGUGUUGGAAGUCUUGAUGCCAGAGUUGCCUGAAUACCUCAUUUUUUUUUUUUCAUUUGAGAAAAGGUACACUGAAUAAUUCCGAAGGUGUUCAAGAUUCCCUUUCGCACUAUGUGGGAUGAUGUCAUUAUAGCCAGAGAAGCUGCAGGAAAUCCCUGGGAGAUAAAAGUUUAAGUGUUUACAUUUUAUGUGGCCUUUGCAGUCCCAAGGUUCUACUUGACUACUUUCCCCCUCUUUGUCUUCUGCUGAUUUCUGCCUUGUGAGUGAACAAGUAAGCUCUGAAGGAUUUCUAAAUUCCAAAUAAGAAAAAAUUGAGUUAAACCCAGUUAUCUGAUAGGAAAGUGGUCAUGUGGCAUUGGCAAUGUCUACAUAGCCUGUGUGGAAAGAUGAAAUGAGCUUCUAGUACUACGGAGAAAAUAAUCAUAAAAAGUUCACUACUCAUAGACAGUUCUUAACAAAAAUGCAGAACUUUUUUUCCAAAUGAAAAUAUUGCUUCAGAAUCCUUUGAGGUUUCUCUUGGUGAAAUGAACUUGUGCCAUUCUUGAAAUUAUCACAUAGUCAUUAACACUGGUGCAACCUGCCACGGUUUAACUUCAUUUACUUUUAUGUGCAAUGUUCCCUCCCCUCCCCUAGAGGACACUCUCUAGAUGCUGAGAAGUGUUCAUGCUGCCGAGGUGGCAUAGAAGAUGCUGGUUUUCAUGGAGAAAAUUAUAUUCAAGAACAAAGAAAACCAUACCUAUUGUUUUUUAAGAUCUGCAAGCACUCAAAGGGACAACUUAGUUCUUUCUAGAUAUUUCCCAUUUGAGUUCACCCCAAAGCCUUUGUAAGGAAUGCAUUAACAAGAGACACACAUCAAAAUCCCCCAGAUUACAGAAGUUAUGGGAGCCCCUGCAGCGGCAAAGCACAGGGUUGGGCACUCGCAGCGUUGCCUAGGAAAUUUCAGCAGGGGAUGAGCAAUCAGCCUAUGACCUGGUUGGUUUGGUUUUCGUUUGGUUUGUUAAAUUUUGGUCAUUCAAACUGCUUUCAGCCUCUUGAUAAAAGAAAGCCAGGAUCUUGCCAUUUUCCUGUGUUAGACUUCCCAGUAAUGUUUGGCUGUGUGUGUGUGCCAUUUUUCUAAAAGCAGCACUGUGUCGGGUGUGUUUAAACACACAGCUCCAUGAGCACCUAUACUAGGGAACAGCAGCUGCUGAAUGGUUUCUGUUUUCGUGAAAAAUUAGGUGUCACUGAAAUUUUUGUUCCUUUUCUAAAAUCCACAAUAAUUUUUUUGAUGUUAUUAUGAAGUUGCCCUUGGGAAUUUAUAAAGACUUGCUGCAAAAAAGCAAUUUAGCUCUCAGACAAGAGAAAGAAGUUAAAUGACCAUUCUGGAACUUUAAUUUAGAGCUCCAUUGUGUUACAUGUGACACACACACACACACACACACACACACACACACACACACACACACUUAAUUUCCCCGUGUUUUCUAAAGCCCCAAAGCCCAUGACUUCUGUUUACCGACCUCAUCAUCAUUCACCUCCACAUCACUUAUUGUCAGGGAAGAAGAUGGUGGUUAGAUGUUGGAUUUGAUUUUUUUUUCCCUUCAUUUACAGUAAGAGGAGAGGUAACAAAUCCACUCGUUAAGUCAAUUCAGUGCUUGAGCAUGUCAGAUGUGAAAUGAUGUACUGUUAGCCAAUUUGGGUGAUUUUGUGUACUGUUGUUGUGUUUUGCUGAUUUUUAUAUGGAAAUAUAAUUAUUCAUCCUUGAUCUCUGGAAGCAAUCAUUGUUAUAAGGAUCAUUUUCCUUUGGAAACACUUUCAUAAUAAAGAUAAGUAUGAAAGAAA